AGCUUUGUACAGUGGCAAUAUCAUAGCCAAUGAGAUUUAUCCAAGGUAAGAUCACCACUAAUUGAAAACUUUUCCCAAUACCCUGCUGUGAUGACUUGCAAAUAUAGUUAGCAUAGGCAAUUUUUAACAGUCUCUAUGGAGA
rnacentral:snRNA from 1 species